rnacentral:rRNA from 1 species
GACGAACGCUGGCGGCGUGCUUAACACAUGCAAGUCGAACGGAAAGGCUCCAGCUUGCUGGAGUACUCGAGUGGCGAACGGGUGAGUAACACGUGGGUAAUCUGCCCUGCACUCUGGGAUAAGCCUUGGAAACUGGGUCUAAUACUGGAUAUGACCUUUCUCCUUAUGGGGUUUGGUGGAAAGUUUUUCUGUGUAGGAUGAGCCCGCGGCCUAUCAGCUUGUUGGUGGGGUGAUGGCCUACCAAGGCGACGACGGGUAGCCGGCCUGAGAGGGUGAUCGGCCACAUUGGGACUGAGAUACGGCCCAGACUCCUACGGGAGGCAGCAGUGGGGAAUAUUGCACAAUGGGCGGAAGCCUGAUGCAGCGACGCCGCGUGAGGGAUGACGGCCUUCGGGUUGUAAACCUCUUUCAGCAGGGACGAAGCGUAAGUGACGGUACCUGCAGAAGAAGCACCGGCUAACUACGUG